UACAGAGGGUGCAAGCGUUAAUCGGAAUUAUUGGGCGUAAAGAGCUCGUAGGCGGUUUGUCGCGUCUGCUGUGAAAACCCGAGGCUCAACCUCGGGCCUGCAGUGGGUACGGGCAGACUAGAGUGCGGUAGGGGAGAUUGGAAUUCCUGGUGUAGCGGUGGAAUGCGCAGAUAUCAGGAGGAACACCAAUGGCGAAGGCAGAUCUCUGGGCCGUAACUGACGCUGAGGAGCGAAAGCAUGGGGAGCGAACAGG
rnacentral:rRNA from 2 species